CAGGAAGCUCGGGGCGGUGCCCGUUCCCCUCCCGCCCCCCGACUGCCCGCCCCCUGGGCCCGGGCGCGCCUCCCCAGGUAGGAGCAGCUGUGGCGGCGCAGCGGGAGCCCCACAAUGUCAGAGCCAGGAGGGCACUUGGAGAUCUCCCGGGCCGGCCUCCUCCGCGCGCCGACGGGGAGACUGAGGCCCCAAGAGGCCAGGGACUGUCUCGGGAGACCUCGGCGCCCGAACUCAGCGCUUCCGGACUUUUCCAGCCUCUGCCGAGGGCUGGGACCCGCAGACCACCGACUAUUGCCUGUAUCUGGUUCGUGGAACUGCCUCUGAUUUUGGGGGCAUUUGCUGGCCAGAGAUGAUUGACAUCGGCUUUACCUGAUGAAUGACUAAGACCAAGCUCAGGGAAAGAUUUGCCUUGAGCUAACAUCUAUUGCCAAUCUUCCUGGGGUUUUUGGUUUGUUUUUCUUUUCCUCCCCAAAGCCCCAGUGAAUGGUUAUAUAUCCUAGUUGUACACACCUAAGAGAGGACUGUCUGGGUCAGAUGUCUCUAAGCGUCAGGAAUCCGAGUGGAGCUUAGCUGGUGUGGCUGGCAGCAUUGGCCCAUCCGAGCUUGAGGCCGCUUUGGAGUAGUGCCGGAUACGGGAAAACUGGAGAGAAGAAGGAAUAAGAGAGCAGAGGGCUGGAAAAGGGGACAGAAGGAAAGACGAGUUAAGGGACUGGAAAGAAUCAGUGUUUGGAAGAAGGCGGUUGUUGCUAAACCACUUUUCAGGCUGUACUUCUGCUGGAUGGAGGAGCUUCAAUCGUCUUGAUCAAUGAGCCUGUAUCAGGCUUUGAACAGGAGCUAUAGAUAUGUUAGUUCAUUUACUCAAUCCUGCAACAGUCCCACCUCCCAGAUUUAGAAACUGAGAUCUGAAAAGUUAAGUAAGACUUGGCCAAGACCAUAUACCUGAGAUGGCUUUCCUCCCCCAGAGCCUGUGACCUUUCACGAUGGUACCCGAGUAUAUUCCUGUGUUACUCUGCUUCCGACUCUGCCUCACAGCAUCCUUUGCCUCCUGGGUCCGUGAGACGUCUUCUAGGAAGUUCUAGUGGACAGUAAGAAAGACAAAUCCUCUGGUCUCCCUGGUCUCCCUGGUCUCUAGUUAUGGCAGCCUGCGUUCUCUUUGAAGACUGAGCUGUGUUACGGAACUCCCUCCUCCCCCGACUCUAACAGGCUUAGUGGCCUCUGUGAGGUCUGCCUCAAUCAGUGAAAGGACAGUAGGUCUCUGCUUCUGGCUGCCUCCGUGAAUGAUUUCUGCCCCGUAGUGGAAGAGUCACUGGUGGCUCGGCCUGAGAUGUCCUCUACCUGGUCAGCAUCCUCUGAUGUAACACCCCUAGACACAGUGAAUCUUGGAUAUGAAGCUGCUUCGAGUUUGAGCUUCACGUAGUGAGUGGUUUGGGCAGGUCCACUGUCCCUCCAGCCUCAGUUCCUUCAGCUGUUGAACUGAGGAGGAAGAGGUGGCUGAAUUAGUGGUUCUUUCUCCAUGGAAGUGAAGACUGACAAGUAUGCUCCAGUCCGUAGGAGCUCUAGGCAUUGUCUAUGGAUUAAAUAGUUUGUCCGUCUUGCGUAUAUACACAUGACUACAUUUCAAAUGUGUGUAAAGCUGUGUGAGAAAUAAAAUGCAAAUUCAUUUAAAGAU
ensembl:lncRNA